AUGCUCUUUCCUUUUUUCUAAAUUGUUGUCGCCGUUCUCAGCCAUUUUGGGAUUAGCUUUCUUUAUCUCUCAAACCCUAAUUUUUCUCCCUUUUGAAUCUCAUCUCUGUCCGCUCGCGCCGGUCAAUCGGUUUAUAAAAAUUUCCUCUGUCCGGUCGCUGUCGCUGCUUCGUAUAAAAAGUUAGCUUUGCUGUGGUGAGGCACGGUCUCGAACCCUAAUUUUUCAACCUUUAUGUUCUCAUCUCUCUCUGCUCGCUCCGAACGGUUCGUUUGUAAAAAUUCAUCUCUGUGCCGUCGUUGUCACUGCUUGGUAUAAAAAGUUGGCUUUGCUGUCUUCAAUUCCUUUUUCUUGGAAAGUGGAAGCCCCAAAUUUGAGCUUAGAGCUUUAAUUUCUUAAUCAUUCGUUUCUCUGCACUCUCAUCAGUCAGUCUUGAUACUCUCUCAGAGGAGCCUACAUAUUUAAACGUGUUGCUGGUAUAAAAUUUUCUCAUCUAUUUGCAAACAAGUUUGGCAAAUCACAGUACAAAGGUGCUUGAAAAAUUUCAACUCUGCAAGUUGGAAAAAAAAGGAGGGUUUCAAAAUACUGUGCUUUCACGCUUUGGCGUCUUUGUCUUUGUGUUUGAAAGAUUUCUGUACUAAAGGUGAGUGAGCUAAAAUUUUGGAAUUGUUAAGAUCAAAUUUUAAGUAUUUGUUUCGAUUUUGUUUUAUAAAGUAUGAAUAAACUUGGUAUUUCCUUUAACUUUAAAUUGAAAUCCUAAUUUUGAUGGUUUGUUCAUAAUUAAUGUUUGUUAUGUUUUUUUGCUGUGUGAUUUAUGUGUUAAUAUUUUUUUCACUUUUUUUUUCUUUUUUUUUCCCAAUCUUUUUUGCAGCUCUUCGCUUUUCCUCAUAACAAUUUGUUUUCAACAUGUCUAAAAGAUCUAUAAAUGCGUUGGUCAAUGAUGAUAACAACAAAAAACAAACAAAUAGUGAUAAUGAAUAUAAUGUCUUGGUUCAGUGUGACCAUCAGCCAAGAAAAGUGUGUAGAACCAGUUAUCUUGAAAAUCAUGAAAACGCUGUUUUAUCUCAGAUUGAUACAUUUCUUCGAACUCCAUAUUUUAAACAUCAGUGUAGUAGUAGUGGAUCAGCUGUUGUACAAUGCGAUUUGAAAAAUGCUAAUUAUGAUAAAGUGCAGCAUACUGCAUCUGUUGAAAAAAUUGUUCAGCCUUCUGAUCGAAAAGGUAAAAAACCUAUUAAUUUGUUGGAUAAUUCUGAUAACAUGGCUGAAAAAACGAUUGAUCCUCAAAAUUACAAUCUUAUGAACAAGGGCCAAGCAUUCUUCCAGAAAAGCAGAACUGGUAUGUUUUUUAAUUUAUAUAAAAAUAUAUUUCUGUUAUCGUGUAAAUUUAUAUUUAGUUUAUUGCAUAUCUUUUCUAAGUCCUGUUUUCUUUCUUUUCUUUCCUGUGUAUUUUUUUUGCAGGGGUUUUAAAAGAUUAUGUGGAUUUUGGGGAUAAGAAUUAUAAAUGUAGUCACUGCGGUGCCUAUUUUUGGUUGAAAGAGUCUCUUAAGCAAAGAAUAUGGACAUCCUGAUUUAUUCAUAACAUUCACAUGCAAUAUAAAGUGGCCAGAAAUCAUAAGAGAAUUUCAGAAAAAACCAGGAUUCAAACCUGAAGAUAGGCCUGAUAUAAUUUCCAGAGUAUUUAAAAUGAAACUCGAUGAUAUGCUUCACUUUAUAAAAUCUGGAAAACCUUUUGGAGAAGUUGAAGCAAAUGUUUGCACGAUUGAAUUUCAAAAAAGAGAUGCCAUCCAAGUUUUUAUAUGAUGGACGACAGAAGUUUUGGAAGCCAAGGAAACGCAAAGGAUCAAUUGGUAGGAUAGCAUAUGUGCACCCUGCAUCUGGUUACCUUCAUUGGAACUACUGUUUUUAGUUUGCUUACAUAGGAAAUAAAUGCUGCAAUUGCACAUUUAUUUUAAUUAUGAUUCAAUGAAAAGAAGACACAUGACAAAUUCAACAACCAAGUUGCAGCUACAACAAAUAUGUUAAGCACAGUAUAAAAGCAAAGAUUAUUAGGUAUGGCCUAAAUCCUCAACUACAAUGGAAUGACUUAAUGGUAUGUUUUUCUUAACUUUCUUUUCUUUGCUGAUUCCCGUUUAAAUUCAAUAUUUACUAACCUUUCUCUUCAGAGGAAUUCGUUGCUACCAAUGUAUGUAUAUACAAACGAUCUUCGUUUUUACCUAAUCUGAAUACAUAGCUUAUUCCUUGCUUGACCAUUGAUGAGUUAAGGGGGACAUAUGUACAAAGUAUAUCUUCAAUCAGAACAUCUUCAUCUAUACUUUUGUAUGUCCAACUCAAACCUCUCAUUAGACAACCAACCAAUUAGCCAUGUGUUCACAAUACGUCAAAAGGAGAAAGUUUUUGUGUAUAAAUUGGUAGCAACCAAUUCCUCUGAAGAGAAAAGAUGGAAGUGAUGAUUAUUUCUCCAAAUGAUGAAGGCUGAAAUAACUCAGCAUACUUUGUCUCUAUAUUACAAAGAGGCAUCUAACUAGCUAUAUCUGAUCCAUCUUUUUACAUGUUUCACUUCACUUUUACAGAUAAAAUACUAAUGAAUUAACUCUUGAUUAACAAUGUCAUUGUUUAAAUUAUUUCAAGUGUUGCUUUUAUUCAACCUGUUUGAAUUUUGCCAUUUACACACUCCUAUAGGAUUUUGGAUUUGUGUGAAUUUUCAAGAUUUUCCUUGGCUUCAAUUUUUCUUUUUCAAUCUGUCUAUCAUGUUUCCAUUGACCAUUUCAUCAUUUUCGCCCCACAGUAAAAUUACAAUUAUCAAUAUGGAUCCUACCAACAAUGCAUUGCCAUAUCGUUUUCAUUUUUUUCCUGUUUUGUUAUUUGUAGUUUUCGUUGUGUGAUUAGUAUGAGGAAAAUCAUAUAAGAUUUUGGUUUUUUGUGGGUUUUCAACUUUUUUCAUGGCUUUUUGACCAUUUGAUUCUUUUUGGCUCCAAAGAAAAUUACAGUUCUCGAUUUGCAUUCUUCCAAGGGUGCAUAACCGUAUCCUUUUCUCAUUUUUGUUUCUGUUUUUCUGUUGUUUCUAAUUUGCUGUGUAGCAUUCUAUUCCAUGUACAAAGUUGAGCCUUUAAUAAAUUUAGUUAUGAAUGUUUUGUAAACAUGGAAGACCUUAUAAAACUCAAUCAUGUGAUGGUGGAGCACUCUUUUGCUCCCAAUUGAGAACAUUCUCGGGUGAGAGUCCCCAGUUGUCCUACAUGGGUAUCUAUGGUCAACGAGUUCAAGUUCUUGGUUCUGUUAUCAUUGACGGGGGCUCUGGCUAUUGCAAGUUUGGCUGGAGCAAAUACGCAUGUCCAUCAGGCCGGUCAGCAACCUUUUUGGUGAAGUGGUCUGACUUGCAAGAAUUUGGAUGCAGGCGAAGCCAUCUUCGCAGCCCGUGGUCUUGUCUAUACCAAUCUGCCAUUAUGAUGGUGAGCUGCUACCCUAGAGUCUAGAGUUAUAAAUU